rnacentral:rRNA from 1 species
AGUGGCGAACGGGUGAGUAAUGCAUCGGAACGUGCCCAGUAGUGGGGGAUAGCCCGGCGAAAGCCGGAUUAAUACCGCAUACGACCUGAGGGUGAAAGCGGGGGACCGAAAGGCCUCGCGCUAUUGGAGCGGCCGAUGUCGGAUUAGCUAGUUGGUGGGGUAAAGGCUUACCAAGGCGACGAUCCGUAGCUGGUCUGAGAGGACGACCAGCCACACUGGGACUGAGACACGGCCCAGACUCCUACGGGAGGCAGCAGUGGGGAAUUUUGGACAAUGGGGGCAACCCUGAUCCAGCCAUGCCGCGUGCGGGAAGAAGGCCUUCGGGUUGUAAACCGCUUUUGUUCGGGAAGAAAUCCUCUGGGCUAAUACCCUGGGGGGAUGACGGUACCGGAAGAAUAAGCACCGGCUAACUACGUGCCAGCAGCCGCGGUAAUACGUAGGGUGCGAGCGUUAAUCGGAAUUACUGGGCGUAAAGCGUGCGCAGGCGGUUGUGCAAGACAGAUGUGAAAUCCCCGGGCUUAACCUGGGAACUGCAUUUGUGACUGCACGGCUAGAGUGCGGCAGAGGGGAGUGGAAUUCCGCGUGUAGCAGUGAAAUGCGUAGAUAUGCGGAGGAACACCGAUGGCGAAGGCAGCUCCCUGGGCCUGCACUGA